GAUCCAGUGGUGUAAUGGUAACACACUUGAUUGAGAUAGUGUAAGUUGAAAUGUGUUAUGCAAGAGAUCCCUGUUCAAUUCGGGGCUGGGUCA